rnacentral:rRNA from 1 species
CACGAGACACGUGAAACCUUGUGGGAAGCAGGGAGGACCACCUCCCAAGGCUAAAUACUACCUGAUGACCGAUAGUGAAGCAGUACCGUGAGGGAAAGGUGAAAAGAACCCCGGGAGGGGAGUGAAAUAGAACCUGAAACCGUGUGCCUACAACCGCUCAGAGCCCCUUAUGAGGGUGAUGAGGUGCUUUUUGUAGAACGAGCCAACGAGUUACGGUAUGUAGCAAGGUUAAGUACUUAAGGUACGGAGCCGAAGGGAAACCGAGUCUGAAUAGGGCGACUAGUUGCAUGCCGUAGACCCGAAACCGGGUGACCUAUCCAUGGCCAGGUUGAAGCGAGGGUAAAACCUCGUGGAGGACCGAACCACGUUGCUGUUGAAAAAGCAUGGGAUGAGCUGUGGAUAGCGGAGAAAUUCCAAUCGAACCCGGAGAUAGCUGGUUCUCUCCGAAAUAGCUUUAGGGCUAGCGUCGAGUAUGAGUAGUGGAGGUAGAGCACUGAAUGGGCUAGGGGGCAUAGCGCUUACCGAACCUUAUCAAACUCCGAAUGCCACAUACUUUGAGCUCGGCAGUCAGACUACGAAUGAUAAGAUCCGUGGUCAAAAGGGAAACAGCCCAGAUCGUCAGCUAAGGUCCCAAAGUGUAAGUUAAGUGGGAAAGGAUGUGAGAUUUCUAAGACAACUAGGAUGUUGGCUUAGAAGCAGCCAUUCAUUAAAAGAGUGCGUAAUAGCUCACUAGUCGAGAGAUCUUGCGCCGAAAAUGUAACGGGGCUAAACUUACCACCGAAGCUACGGGCUUGAACAUAGUUCAAGCGGUAGGAGAGCGUCGUAACCGGGCUGAAGUCGUACCGUAAGGAGCGGUGGACUGGUUACGAGUGAGAAUGUUGGCAUCAGUAGCGAGAUGUGGGUGAGAAUCCCACAGGCCGAAAACCUAAGGUUUCCUCAGGAAGGUUCGUCCGCUGAGGGUUAGUCGGGACCUAAGCCGAGGCCGAAAGGCGUAGGUGAUGGACAACUGGUUGAUAUUCCAGUACCACUACCAUCGUUAUUAUCGAUGGCGUGACGCAGGAGGAUAGUGUGUGCUAGCUAUUGGAUGCUAGUCUAAGCGUUUAGGCAGUGAGAGUAGGCAAAUCCGCUCUCAUAAUGCUGAGGCGUGAUGGGGAAGGUUC